AGGUUAAGCUAAUAAGAGCACACGGAGGAUGCCUAGGCGCCAGGAGCCGACGAAGGACGUGGCGAACAACGAAACUGCCUCGGGGAGCUGUAAGCAAGCUUUGAUCCGGGGGUGUCCGAAUGGGGAAACCCAGCUGUGGUAAUUCGCAGUUACUUCUCCCUGAAUACAUAGGGGAGAUAGAGGCAGACCAGGGGAACUGAAACAUCUAAGUACCCUGAGGAAGAGAAAACAAUAGUGAUUCCGUCAGUAGCGGCGAGCGAACGCGGAACAGCCUAAACCAAGAGGCUUGCCUCUUGGGGUUGUGGGACGUCUCAUAUGGAGUUACAAAGGAAUAGAGUAGGCGAAGAGGUCUGGAAAGGCCCGCGAUAGAGG
rnacentral:rRNA from 2 species